rnacentral:misc_RNA from 1 species
UCUUUCUUUGUUAGAAAUAAAGAAUUGCCCAAAGUUGACUUGGAUGCCAUUUUUUCCAUCACUUGAUGAAAGGCUAUACUAUGUCAAUGCUGGGAUUCAACCACUGCAGCAAACUAUGAAGUUGAAGGUGAUUUCUCCUCAGCAUGAAGAUCCGAAGUUCAACUGUGCUUAUUCCCUCGCAAACCUUCAAGAAUUAUGGAUUUCUAAGUUAACUGAUUUGGAGUAUAUAGAUAGCGAUGAGGAUACUUGCCUAAGUGAAGGAGGAUCGACAGUCUUCCCAUUCCUGAAGAAACUCUGGAUCGACAAUUGUCCUAAUUUUAAGGGAUGGUGGAAGAAGAGAAAUGAGGUUGAUGAUAGGACAACCAUGAUGACAGCAGAGCUGCCCCAUUUUUCUUGUCUGUCUUUGUUGGAAAUAAAGAAUUGCCCUCAGUUGAUUUGCAUGCCACUGUUUCCAUCUCUAGACGAAAGGCUAUAUUAUGUGAAUGCUGGAAUAGAGCCACUGCACCAGACGAUGAAGAUGAGGUCGGCUCAACAUGGAGAAGUGGAGUUCCCAAGUUCAACUUCUUCCCUCAUAAAGCUUAAAGAAUUAUGGAUUUCUGAUUU